rnacentral:rRNA from 1 species
GAUGCAGCGACGCCGCGUGAGGGAUGACGGCCUUCGGGUUGUAAACCUCUUUCAGCAGGGAAGAAGCGCAAGUGACGGUACCUGCAGAAGAAGCACCGGCUAACUACGUGCCAGCAGCCGCGGUAAUACGUAGGGUGCGAGCGUUGUCCGGAAUUAUUGGGCGUAAAGAGCUCGUAGGCGGCCUGUCGCGUCGGAUGUGAAAGCCCGGGGCUUAACCCCGGGUCUGCAUUCGAUACGGGCAGGCUAGAGUGUGGUAGGGGAGAUCGGAAUUCCUGGUGUAGCGGUGAAAUGCGCAGAUAUCAGGAGGAACACCGGUGGCGAAGGCGGAUCUCUGGGCCAUUACUGACGCUGAGGAGCGAAAGCGUGGGGAGCGAACAGGAUUAGAUACCCUGGUAGUCCACGCCGUAAACGUUGGGAACUAGGUGUUGGCGACAUUCCACGUCGUCGGUGCCGCAGCUAACGCAUUAAGUUCCCCGCCUGGGGAGUACGGCCGCAAGGCUAAAACUCAAAGGAAUUGACGGGGGCCCGCACAAGCAGCGGASCAUGUGGCUUAAUUCGACGCAACGCGAAGAACCUUACCAAGGCUUGACAUAUACCGGAAACGGCUAGAGAUAGUCGCCCCCUUGUGGUCGGUAUACAGGUGGUGCAUGGUUGUCGUCAGCUCGUGUCGUGAGAUGUUGGGUUAAGUCCCGCAACGAGCGCAACCCUUGUUCUGUGUUGCCAGCAUGCCUUUCGGGGUGAUGGGGACUCACAGGAGACUGCCGGGGUCAACUCGGAGGAAGGUGGGGACGACGUCAAAUCAUCAUGCCCCUUAUGUCUUGGGCUGCACACGUGCUACAAUGGUCGGUACAAAGGGCUGCGAUGCCGCGAGGCGGAGCGAAUCCCAAAAAGCCGGCCUCAGUUCGGAUUGGGGUCUGCAACUCGACCCCAUGA